CGGCGCACGACGCAGCAGUUCUACCCGACGACUGCAGUGGAACGUGCAGCAGUUGUGCGCGAUAGUACAAUAGCACGUUGCAGUGCUGGCCUGACGCGCGCGCACGCGAGAAAAACGAGCGUGGCGAAAAACGUGCGCGUACGACUGGUUCGAAAAAACGAAGCGCGGCAACCCGGGCCGCCACUAUGCACUACUACCACCACGAUUGAGCACCGGCGGCUGUAGCGACUGCGGCGGCGGUGGUGUUUCCUUCUCCCAAACGGCACGAAAAUAAGUGCAGGGAAGGGGCCGGCCGACGAAGCAGGGGACGAAAGCGACGCGCGACCGGUCCCACGUAUACACAAACAAUAUAAUAUUCCAAUAUGAUAUACAAUAAUAUGUUUGGUCUCGAUGAUCGACUUUGACCGGGUAUGUGGUUCACAGGCACGAGUGUAACCGCCUACGAAAUCAGAGCUGCAACGCGCGCGGCUUAGCGUCAAAGGUCAAUGACGAAUACAUUUUCAUUUAUUUAUUAUAGUGUGGUAACUCGGAUACACACACUAUAAUAUAAUAAAUAUAAACGACGAACUUUAGAACCGAAUACAAUUGAUCAUUAUUGACUACCUAUUUAGUAUAUCAUAUCACAUUUUCAACUAAGGACCAACGACCAGCACCCACCCCUUGUUCAAAAAAAUCUCAGAGGCAAUUUCUUCUGAAAUUUUCGUUCACCACGGCACUUCAUCUUAUCACCUAUUAUGUAAAAGAAGAACAUUCUUCCGGUUCUUUUUUUUAAGUAUUUAAAGAUGUUUGAUGCAUCGAAAUUUAUAGAAGGCAAUAGUUUUAAGUUGUUUAUAAUUCUUUAUUAAAAACUAGAUUAAAAAUUUACAAAAAAAAUAAAAUCAAUUUUACAUAUUAUAUCAUUUCACAUGAUAUCUGCAUAUUAUAACACCUUACCCCUUACCUACUUGACAAAAUAUAUAUUUUAUUUAUGUUUUUUGAGUUAUUUUAUUUUUCGAAUGUAUUUUAUCGAACAAUUUCAGUGUUUAGUAGCUAACACACACGGUCUAGGUAGUAGU